rnacentral:rRNA from 1 species
GUCCUGGCCCUAAACGAUGAGCACUAGGUAGUGGAGGUUCCGAACCGUCACUGCUGAAACGAAAGCAAUAAGUGCUCCGCCUGGGGAGUAUGGUCGCAAGGCUAAAACUCAAAGGAAUUGACGGGGGCUCACACAAGCGGUGGAGGAUGUUGCUCAAUUCGAAGCAACGCGAAGAACCUUACCUGGGCUUGACAUGCUGGUGGUAGGAGCCGGAAACGGUAACGACCAUCGCAAGAUGGAGCCAGCACAGGUGUUGCAUGGCUGUCGU